rnacentral:rRNA from 1 species
GACGAACGCUGGCGGCGUGCUUAACACAUGCAAGUCGAACGGAAAGGCCCUGCUUUUGUGGGGUGCUCGAGUGGCGAACGGGUGAGUAACACGUGAGUAACCUGCCCUUGACUUUGGGAUAACUUCAGGAAACUGGGGCUAAUACCGGAUAGGAGCUCCUGCUGCAUGGUGGGGGUUGGAAAGUUUCGGCGGUUGGGGAUGGACUCGCGGCUUAUCAGCUUGUUGGUGGGGUAGUGGCUUACCAAGGCUUGGACGGGUAGCCGGCCUGAGAGGGUGACCGGCCACAUUGGGACUGAGAUACGGCCCAGACUCCUACGUGAGGCAACAGUGGGGAAUAUUGCACAAUGGGCGGAAGCCUGAUGCAGCAACGCCGCGUGCGGGAUGACGGCCUUCGGGUUGUAAACCGCUUUCGCCUGUGACGAAGCGUGAGUGACGGUAAUGGGUAAAGAAGCACCGGCUAACUACGUG